rnacentral:rRNA from 1 species
CGGGUGAGUAACACGUAUCCAACCUGCCGUCUACUCUUGGACAGCCUUCUGAAAGGAAGAUUAAUCCAGGAUGGCAUCAUGAGUUCACAUGUCCGCAUGAUUAAAGGUAUUUUCCGGUAGACGAUGGGGAUGCGUUCCAUUAGAUAGUAGGCGGGGUAACGGCCCACCUAGUCAACGAUGGAUAGGGGUUCUGAGAGGAAGGUCCCCCACAUUGGAACUGAGACACAGUCCAA